rnacentral:lncRNA from 1 species
AGAAUGAAGAAGAUACCCAGCAGAUGUGUGCCAAGAUUCUACAAAUGGUACAUACAGAGUGUUCUCACCCAAAAAGGUACCAACUUGGGCAUGGAAAGACCUGUUUCUCCUGGACUCCUGGACGUGCCAGCCAUCGAGACAGGGAAGACCCACUGAUGUCUUCAGGAUUUGUCCAUCACCCUGGGGACUGUCUGGCCUGCUGGCAGGUGACAGUGGCCUG